UCCGCUUUCUCAUUUAAGGAGAAAGAAGUAGUUCAAGCUUACAUAGAAGUGCUAUUACAUAAAAGGGAGAAACUCAAGCUCUAAAAGUACUGAACUAAACAUUGAACAAAGACAACUCUGGUUUCCCACAGGCCAGAACCUUACAAUUUAGCUCAGCUUUGAUUUCCUGCAGUACCUCCGUUGGUGUCAAGAUCUGAUGCUCGAACACCCAUUUGUUUCAUGCCUUCCAGAUGUUCCAAGCACCGUAGAUCAGCAACGUUGCUUUGAGUCGUCGAAUCUUCUUGGCUUCGCCCACACUUGUCUGGCGAAUGCGCAGUGUAGGAUGAGGUGAGGUGCUGUCUCGGGUUCUUGAGUGCAAAGGGUGCAGGUUGGACUACAAGGCCACCGUCUUGCCAACAAAUUAUCUGCUGUGAGAAUCUUGCACUGAAGUAGAAGCCAAGCAAAAAACUUAUGCUUUCCUUCCGCUUCUGCUUGCCAAACACUAAGCCCUCGAAAGUUACUAUAAGAUCCCAAGAACUGUGUAUUGUAAGCUGACUUGGCCGUAUAGGCCCCAUCCGUUGUCCAUCUCCAAGAGAUUGUAUCUUGUCCAUCAGAUAGUUGCACCGCCUGCACAAGAUCCCAGAGCUCCACGAAGCUGGCCAUUUGAUCAACUGACUGCAUCCUCCAUAAACCCCUUGUCCAGUUUUGAUUUAGCAAUUCUUCCUUGACGGUUUUGUUCUUUCUCCACGCCAACUUGUAAAGAUCGGGGAACCGAUCCAUCGGUGCUUGCCCACACAGCCAAGUGGAUUGCCAAAAGCUAGCUUUCUCUCCAUUGCCUGAAGUUACAACAGUACUUGCUCGGAAUAAUUGCUUGUCGACUGCAUCAACCGGUGGUUCAGUGCCUACCCAAGGCCAUUCCGGCUCUGUCCACUGAAACCACAGCCAACGUAAAUGCAAGGCCCUGCUAAAGAGGUCGAGGUCAAGAAUGCCUAAACCUCCAAACUUUUUUGGCCUCAAGGUUUUACUCCACUGUACCAAGCAAUGACCACCAUUUGCCUCUGCAGCCCCUUUCCAGAGGAAGGUCCUCCUUAUUCUGUCAAUUUUCUUAAUUGCCCAUUUUGGCAGCUUGAACACAGUCAAGAAGUAGGUAGGUAGUGAGGACAGAACCGAGUUGAUGAGCCUCAGUCUGCCGGCCUUGUUCAACAAUCUUCCUUUCCAAGCAGCUAGUUUACCCCCCAUUUUGUCUAUGAGUGGCUGUAUGUCGACUCUUCUGAUUGCCCGCACAUGCAGCGGCAGUCCCAAAUAUUUGCAAGGAAAGGAGCCAACCGCACACUGAAAAGCUUCCAUUACAUGUUGCAAGUCCAAACCGUCACAACGAAUUGGAUACACUGUGCUUUUUUGCAUUGUUGGUGAUUAAACCAGAAGCACUCCCAAACGCUGCCAGAAUGUUGUGCACCACUUGCACCUCAUCACUAAUUGGGUUCAGAAAGAUAGCAGCGUCGUCUGCAUACAUACUGACUCUGAUCUUGGCAUUCCUAUUGCAAAUUGGUGUAAGGAGACCCUGUUCUGUAGCCUUGUUGAGCAUCAGCUGCAAAGGCUCCAUUGCCAAGAUAAACAACACUGGGGAAAGGGGAUCGCCUUGUCGCAGCCCUGUCCUAUGCUUGAACCAUUUCCCUCUCACGCCAUUUAGCAAUACUAUAGAUGAUGCCUUACCUAACAGGGUGGUCACCCAAGCCCUCCAUCUGUCCCCAAACCAAAGCUGCUGCAAAACUUCAAGUAGAUAAUCCCAACGUACUGUGUCGAAAGCUUUGGCUAUGUCUAACUUGAGGAAUAGUGUUGGUUUCCCUGCCCUGUGAAGCUCUUUGAUCAGAUUCUGAGUGUACAAGAAAUUGUCAUGGAUACUUCUUCUCCUUAUAAAAGCACUUUGAGCCCUAGAAACCAUAGUAUCCAGUUCAGCAGAUAAUCUGACAGCUAACACCUUGGAAAUCAGCUUAGCUAUACUAUGUGAUAAGCUAAUGGGCCUGUAGUCCCCUACUGUUCUUGCAUCAUCCUUCUUUGGCAAGAGUACAAUAUGUGCUGUGUUGAGCAAGUUGAAAUGCUGGUCAUGUCUACUGUAGAAAAAGUUCAUUGCUGACAGCACAUCAUCUUUAAUUACUUCCCAGCUUGUUUUGUAGAAAACCCCAAUGAAACCGUCCGGGCCAGGUGCCUUUUCUGAUGCAAUAUCCUGUACCACUGCCUUUACUUCUACCUCAGUGAACUCAGCCUCAAGGUGCUGCAGGUCGCUCCUAGGUAACUGGAUGAGAUCCCAAUCGACUGACACCUCCCUGCUUUGUUGCAUGCCGAGCCUGCCUGAAAAGUGAUGGUACACACAGGUUGAUUUUUCUUCAUGGGUAUGCAUGAUCCCCCCUGGUUCAUGAAAAUGCCUGAUAAAAUUUUUUCGCCGCCUGCCAUUUACUUGUAAGUAGAACAGCUUUCUGUUGGCCUCACUCGCCCUUAUGCUGAUCAAUCUUGACUGUUGCCGUGCUCUAAGCUUUUCCACCGCUGCCAAACCCAAGUAUCUUGCUUU